GAUUCUUUUUAACCUGUGACAAAUUUCUUUCUCUCUCUCUCUCUCUCUCUCUCUCUCUCUCUCUCUCUCCCUCUCUCUCUCUCUCUCUCUCCCUCCCCUAUAUAAAACCAAUCUCAUACACAUUUUUCAUCAACACUUUCAUUUCAAAUCUCUCUUAUUUAUGCACUUUCACUUUCACUUUAAAUUUAAUAGAUUCUCUUAUCUUUUAAUAAAAAUAAUACGUCACUUAGUGCAAUCACGACAAGUUUAUUAUGUCAAAGUUUCAUUAACACUUUGUUUCUAAAUUUUCCUUCUCACUCUUUGAUGAAUCUAAUUUUCCUCUCCUCUGUAUAAAACCAACUCCUUUAUAAACAAAUAUUUUUCUAGUUUCAAGCUCCAAAUGCACAACCUUCUCCAAAUGCAAGGUCUUCACGGAGUACUAGGGUGCUUUUCUUUUGGAGCAAGAGCAUUUGAUCUGAGCAUGAGUCUUUCAAACCCACAAUCAAAGCAUUUGUGUAGAGCUGGAUUAAGAUUGGAAAUCCUCUUUUGGACUUUGAUACGGACUAUAACUACACGGCUGAAUUUUUUUGGGCUCACGGAGCGAUAUCCGAUUCAAUAUAUUGGAAGCUGAAAAAUAUAUGUAGUUAUCCGUCUAUCAAAAGGGAGUAUAUCAAUUCAAAAUAUACUAUAACUUGUCAAGAUGUUGAUACUGCCAAUGUAAAUGGGUAUACCAACGAGAAGAAUGCAUAUAGUGACAUUUGUCCAACACCACCAAAAAAAACGAAGAACACCUACAAGUAUAUAUACAGUUCCUCCUAUAUAGCAAAAAUGAGAGAAAGCUCGUAUAUGUAUUAGAGAUGCAACUAAUAUAUACUUGAAUAAAAAAUAAAGCAAAAAGUGGUUAAAAAGUGUA